rnacentral:rRNA from 1 species
UACGUAGGGUGCGAGCGUUGUCCGGAUUUAUUGGGCGUAAAGAGCUCGUAGGCGGCUUGUCGCGUCGGAUGUGAAAGCCCGGGGCUUAACUCCGGGUCUGCAUUCGAUACGGGCAGGCUAGAGUUCGGUAGGGGAGAUCGGAAUUCCUGGUGUAGCGGUGAAAUGCGCAGAUAUCAGGAGGAACACCGGUGGCGAAGGCGGAUCUCUGGGCCGAUACUGACGCUGAGGAGCGAAAGCGUGGGGAGCGAACAGG